ACCCAAAAGAGCAGAUAUAUUUAAAAAUAUUUCAACUGUCCUUUUUAAAAGAUAUAGAUACUAAUGUUCACUACUAUGUAAAAAUAUAUUGGAUGAAUAAAAAAUACAAAACUAAUCCGUUAAGUGAUGGAUAUUAUUUAUUUAAUGAAUCUUUUUUUUUACCUGUACCUUCAUUACAAGAUGAGAAAAAUGUAAAUUUGUAUAUUGAUGUUUGGGCAAAAGGUAUUAUGAAUAAGCAAGUUGCAUACACAUGUUUUACGCUAGACACAAUAAGAAAAGUGAAAACAAUAAAAGAAAAAAUUCAAUUAAUACACGUGUUACAAAAAUGUAUAUUAACAUUGUCAGUAAAUAUAGUUAAUAACCAAAGCGAUAUAAUCUUUAUUAAUAUGAAAGAGCUGUUUUUUAAUAAAUCAGAUGAAGAAAUAAAAGAAGUUAUAGCAAAUAAUAAUAAUAAUGAAGAGAAUAUAAUUAAAGAACUUAAAUUAUACCGACGUUAUCCUAACACUGUGAAGAGUUCAGUUACUACUGCUACUGCUACAACUGCUGCUGCUGCUACUGCUACUGCUACUACUACCACUCCUGCUGUUGCUACAUCGAAUGCUACGCUUGAUAGUACUACUGUUGAUAGUACAAAUUAUAGUAGUGACCAAUCUAACAGUAUCCAAUCUAAUACUAAUACCACCUGUGUUAAUAAUAGUAUUGACAUUCCUUUAUAUGACAAUAGAACAACAAACUAUUCUCAAAAUAUAUACACACAUGAGACAUAUAAAAAUCAAUAUAUGUAUCCUACGCAUGAAGAAAUGUAUUACAACAAAAAUGAACAUGAACACGCGACAAAUCAGGGUAAUCAGGGUGUACCAACUAGCCAUUAUAUUAGCAACAACAAAAACCCACAUUAUAAUAACAUGUCAUAUGAUAAUACCUACACUAAUAAUCCUAAUAAUCCGUACUAUGAAAAUAAUUAUAAUAAUUUACCAUACACGAACAAUAACAGGAUGAUAUAUGAAAAUGUUUAUACCCAUGCCUAUCCAAACAACAACUUAUAUAAUAUGGCAUCUCCUUAUAUAGAACAAAUUUUAUAUUCUCACGUAGAAAACGUUAAAAAGGCUUUACUGAUUGGUAUUAAUUAUAAUAAUAUUAAUGUUACUUCUAAUAUGAAUAUAUUUAGGAAUAAUAACGUAACAAAUGAUUGUACAAAUGAUCUACUAAAAAUGAAAGAUAUAUUAAUAUCAAAAUAUAAUUUUUUAAACUCACCAAAUAAUAUAUUAAUAUUAGAUGAUAAUGAUACAGAUUUUAAUUAUAAACCAACUAAAGGUAAUAUCAUAUCUGCUUUAAAUUGGUUAGUAAGAAACAACAGACCUGGAGAUAUAUAUUUUUUUUUAUAUAUAGGACGUACAUGUGAACAAGAAGAUUAUACGCACAUAGAAGAUGAUGGCUACAAUGAAGCUAUAAUACCGUGUGAUUAUUUAACUGAAGGUAUAAUAAUUGAUAACGAUAUACAUAAGUAUAUUAUAACCCCUUUACAAGAAGGUGUUAAACUGAUUGCGUUGACUGAAUGUAAUACUGAAGAUAGUUGUUUAGAUUUAGCUUAUAAAUAUAAACUAAAGUCUUCUAAAUGGAAAUGUAUAACAAACCCGUACCACGUUCCUAGUGAUGUUAGUCAUAUUAAUAUGUUCGUAGAUAAUGAUUAUACUGAUCAUAAUAACAGUAAUGAUGUUAAUAGUAACAGUUUCUUACAAAAUCUAACAAAUUCUGAGUCACUAGUAACAAUGUUAACAAAUAUAUUAUGUAAUACAACUAAUGAUAUUCAUAUUACUUAUGAUUAUAUGUUGCAAUCUUUAU
ensembl:lncRNA